GACGAACGCUGGCGGCGUGCUUAACACAUGCAAGUCGAACGGUGAAGGGGUCUGCUUUUGUGGGCCCUGGAUGAGUGGCGAACGGGUGAGUAACACGUGAGUAACCUGCCCCCUUCUUCUGGAUAACCGCAUGAAAGUGUGGCUAAUACGGGAUAUUCUGGGUCUGUCGCAUGAUGGGUCUGGGAAAGAUUGCGCCUUUGGGUGUUUUUGGUGGGGGAUGGGCUCGCGGCCUAUCAGCUUGUUGGUGGGGUGAUGGCCUACCAAGGAGGUGACGGGUAGCCGGCCGGAGGGGGUGGACGGUCACACUGGGACUGAGACACGGCCCAGACUCCUACGGGAGGCAGCAGUGGGGAAUAUUGCACAAGGGGCGCAAGCCUGAUGCAGCGACGCCGCGUGAGGGAUGGAGGCCUUCGGGUUGUAAACCUCUUUCGCCAGUGAAGCAGGCCUGCUCCUUGUGGGUGGGUUGACGGUAGCUGGAGAAGAAGCGCCGGCUAACUACGUG
rnacentral:rRNA from 1 species